UACGUAGGGUGCAAGCGUUAAUCGGAAUUACUGGGCGUAAAGCGUGCGCAGGCGGUUUUGUAAGCCAGAUGUGAAAUCCCCGGGCUUAACCUGGGAAUGGCAUUUGGGACUGCAAGGCUCGAGUGCGGCAGAGGAGACUGGAAUUCCUGGUGUAGCAGUGAAAUGCGUAGAUAUCAGGAGGAACACCGAUGGCGAAGGCAGGUCUCUGGGCUGACACUGACGCUCAUGCACGAAAGCGUGGGGAGCAAACAGG
rnacentral:rRNA from 1 species